UAGUCCCUCCUGGCUUCCCGUUCUCCAGGCCCGGCGGGCGAGGUUAGCCGAGGCCGCCAUAUUGAAUAAGCAACCCGGCCUCUGAGGGGGUUGGUGCGGUACAGGCAGUUCUGCAGAGCAGCUUCGGCGUUUCCAGGGAGAAGCAAUAUGUUAAGGAUACCUCUAAAAAGGGCCUUAGUAGGCCUUUCUAAGUCUUCUAAAGGAUGUGUUCGAACAACUGCCACAGCAGCAAGCAACUUAAUUGAAGUAUUUGUUGAUGGUCAAUCUGUCAUGGUGGAACCAGGAACUACCGUCCUUCAAGUAGGCAUAUGUUCUAAUUCUUUAUUUUUGCGUAUGUUCUGGUUUUUUAAGGAAUAUCAAUUUAUUUCCUUAAUACUGUUUAUUUACUUCUAAAAAUUUUAAGAUUCCUUGAUAAAUGCUCAUAAAAGAACUAUAGAUAGUAAAAUUAUAUGAAAAUAAGUUGGAUUUAAAAUCUUGGCAUUUCAAAGUGAGCUAUCAUUUAUCUGUUUCUGACUUUCUUAGUGAAUUAUGGUAGUUAUUUUGUUUCACUUCUGCUUUCCAAGUAAAUGCCUACUAGAAAUUUGAAGUUACCAAAAAUAAAUUAUAAGUUAAUAUAGGUAAGUUUGGAGAAAAGGCAGUCUUUGUUGUGAACCUGCUUGAUGCUUUUCACUUCAUAUAACUUCUCAAUUUUUAUAACAUUUCUUUUUUUUUUUUUUUAAAGAUUUUAUUUAUUU